GAUGAACGCUGGCGGAAUGCUUAACACAUGCAAGUCGAUGGGGAAGUGGUGCUUGUUCCAUGGUAACCAUGGCGGACGGGUGAGUAACGCGUAAGGAACUUACCUGCGGGACCGGGAUAACAGCAGUAAACUGCUGACAAGACCGGAUAAGGAAAUUAAGCUGCAUAGCUUAGCGAUGAAAGGAGACGCCUGUGGAGAGACUUGCGUACUGUUAGCUAGUUGGAGGGGUAACGGCCCACCAAGGCGAAGAUAGGUAGCCGGCCUGAGAGGGUGGACGGCCACGAGGGGACUGAGAGGCGGCCCUUACUCCUACGGGAGGCAGCAGUGGGGAAUAUUGGAGAAUGGGGGCAACCCUGAUCCAGCAAUUCUGUGUGCACGAAGACGGUUUUCGGAUUGUAAAGUGCUUUCAGCAGGGAAGAAGGAAGUGACGGUACCUGCAGAAGAAGCGACGGCUAACUACGUG
rnacentral:rRNA from 1 species